rnacentral:rRNA from 1 species
GAUGAACGCUGGCGUCGUGCUUAACACAUGCAAGUCUAACGGAAAGGCUCCUGCUUGCAGGUGUACUCGAGUGGCGAACGGGUGAUUAACACGUUGGUGAUCUGCCCUGCACUUCGGUAUAAGCCUGGGAAACUUGGUCUAAUACCGGAUAGGACCACAUUUUGGAUGGUGUGGUGGAAAGUUUUUCGGUGUGGGAUGAGCUCGCGGCCCAUCAGCUUGUUGGUGGGGUAAUGGCCUACCCAGGCGUCGACGGGUAGCCGGCCUGAGAGCGUGUACGGCCACACUGGGAGUAAGAUACGGACCAGACUCGGACGGGAGGCAGCAGUGGGGGAAAUUGCACAAUGGGAGCAAGCAUGAUGAAGAGGAGCCGCGUGGGGAAUGACGGCAUUCGGGGUGGAAACACCGUUAGCUAGAGACGAAGCGUAUUUGUGACGGUACCUGGAGAAGAAGCACCGGCUAAAUAAGUG